rnacentral:lncRNA from 1 species
UGCCCCUCCCUAGCUAGCCAUCUUAUCCAAGCCCUCCAUUGGCCUCUCCCUCCUAUAAAUUCGCUUGUUCUGCAUGCUGGUCUAUAUCCACAAUCACACUAGCCACUAGAAGCACUGAAGAAGCAGAGGGUGUCAAGCAUGGCGUCCAAGGGUCUUCUUGUGUUUGCUCUCCUGCUUGCUGCUGCUAUCCUCGUCGCCUCAACUGAACAAACUCGUGAGCUAACGCGCUACUGAUCUCGUAGUACUUUCGAACUAGCAUGAAUUAACUAGUCGUCAUUAGGCUAGGAAUCUUGCUUUGCUGCGUGCUGCUCCUAAUUUCAAUGCACAAUAUUUUUCUGUUCAUGUAGAGGCCAAGAAGGAGGAGAAGAAAGCCGGUGUAGAGGGCUACGGCGGCGGCGGCGGCUACCCUGGAGGCGGCGGGGGAGGCUACCCAGGCCACGGUGGAGGAGGAGGCGGCGGCUAUCC